UUUAGCUCAGUGGUGAGAGCGAGCGACUCAUAAUCGCCAGGUCGCUGGUUCGAAUCCAGUACAACGCGCCA
rnacentral:tRNA from 2 species